UAAAGCCCACGGCUUAACCUUUGAAGGUCAUUUGAAACUUUCCAACUUGAAUGCAGAAGAGGUAAGUUGAAUUCCAUGUGUAGCGGUGAAAUGCGUAGAUAUAUGGAGGAACACCAGUGGCGAAGGCGACUUACUGGUCUGUGAUUGACGCUGAGGCUCGAAAGCGUGGGUAGCGAA
rnacentral:rRNA from 1 species